CAAUAGCGUAUAUUAAAGUUGUUGCGGUUAAAAAGCUCGUAGUUGGAGUUCUGCCAGGUGCCGUCUGUCCGCCCCAGUGGUGAGUACGUGACGCGCAUUUGGCCCUUUCAAGGGGAGCGUAUCUGCACUUUACUGUGUGGUGCGGGAUCCUUGACUUUUACUUUGAGGAAAUAGGAGUGUUCCAAGCAGGCUCUCGUCGUGCACAGCUCAGCAUGGAAUAAUAGCAUUGGACCUCGAUUCUAAGCUGUUGGUUGCCAGAAGCGAGGUAAUGAUGAAGAGGGAUAGUUGGGGGGCAUUCGUAUUUAACUGUCAGAGGUGAAAUUCUUGGAUUUAUGAAAGACGAACUUCUGCGAAAGCAUUUGCCAAGGAUGUUUUCAUUAAUCAAGAACGAAAGUUGGGGGCUCGAAGAUGAUCAGAUACCG
rnacentral:rRNA from 1 species